CAUAUACUCUCUCCAUCCAGAAAUACUUGUAGACAUGGAUACAAAUGGGUGUAUUUAGAACUAAAAUACAUCUAGAUACAUCUACUCCUCGGACAAGUAUUUCCGGACAGAGGGAGUAAUAU
rfam:Triticum aestivum genome assembly, contig: Triticum_aestivum_CS42_TGACv1_scaffold_576827_7BL